rnacentral:rRNA from 1 species
UGGGGAAUUUUGGACAAUGGGCGAAAGCCUGAUCCAGCAAUGCCGCGUGUGUGAAGAAGGCCUUCGGGUUGUAAAGCACUUUUGUCCGGAAAGAAAUCCUUGGCUCUAAUACAGUCGGGGGAUGACGGUACCGGAAGAAUAAGCACCGGCUAACUACGUGCCAGCAGCCGCGGUAAUACGUAGGGUGCAAGCGUUAAUCGGAAUUACUGGGCGUAAAGCGUGCGCAGGCGGUUUGCUAAGACCGAUGUGAAAUCCCCGGGCUCAACCUGGGAACUGCAUUGGUGACUGGCAGGCUAGAGUAUGGCAGAGGGGGGUAGAAUUCCACGUGUAGCAGUGGAAUGCGUAGAGAUGUGGAGGAAUACCGAUGGCGAAGGCAGCCCCCUGGGCCAAUACUGACGCUCAUGCACGAAAGCGUGGGGAGCAAACAGGAUUAGAUACCCUGGUAGUCCACGCCCUAAACGAUGUCAACUAGUUGUUGGGGAUUCAUUUCCUUAGUAACGUAGCUAACGCGUGGAGUUGACCGCCUGGGGAGUACGGUCG